GCGCUUCAAGCCCACAUAACACACACCCCGUCUCUUUCCCCGCCUGGCGGGCGCCCAGUGCGGUGGUUGGACGAGUGCUGGUGCGGGCGCUCGCUCGCUCUCUCCCUGCGCUUGGAAUAUGGUUGGGGAAAUGGAAACCAAGGAGAAGCCCAAACCGAGCCCCGAUUACCUGAUGCAGCUGAUGAACGACAAGAAGCUCAUGAGCAGCCUCCCCAACUUCUGCGGGAUAUUCAACCACCUCGAGAGGCUGUUGGACGAAGAAAUUAGCAGAGUACGGAAAGACAUGUAUAACGACACGUUAAAUGGUAGCACGGAGAAGAGAAGUGCAGAAUUACCUGAUGCUGUGGGACCUAUUGUACAGUUACAAGAGAAACUAUAUGUGCCUGUAAAAGAAUAUCCAGAUUUCAACUUCGUUGGAAGAAUCCUUGGGCCCAGAGGGCUAACAGCUAAACAGCUUGAGGCUGAAACAGGAUGUAAGAUAAUGGUCCGAGGCAAAGGGUCCAUGAGAGACAAAAAGAAGGAAGAACAAAACAGAGGAAAGCCGAACUGGGAACAUCUGAAUGAAGACCUGCAUGUACUAAUCACUGUGGAAGAUGCUCAAAACAGAGCAGAAAUAAAACUGAAGAGGGCUGUAGAAGAAGUAAAAAAAUUACUGGUACCUGCAGCAGAAGGAGAAGAUAGCCUUAAAAAGAUGCAGUUGAUGGAACUUGCAAUUCUCAAUGGCACCUACAGAGACGCCAAUAUCAAAUCACCAGCCCUUGCCUUUUCUCUUGCAGCAACAGCCCAGGCUCCAAGGAUUAUUACGGGGCCUGCGCCUGUUCUCCCACCAGCUGCCCUGCGUACCCCUACGCCAGGUGGCCCUACCUUAAUGCCUUUGAUCAGACAAAUACAGACCGCUGUCAUGCCAAAUGGAACUCCUCACCCAACUGCUGCAAUAGUUCCCCCAGGACCUGAAGCUGGUUUAAUUUACACACCGUAUGAGUAUCCCUACACACUGGCUCCUGCUACAUCAAUUCUUGAGUAUCCUAUUGAACCCAGUGGUGUAUUAGGUAUGGCUUUCCCAACGAAAGGCUAAGAAUUCAAGAAUGGUCUUAACUGAACCCUCGUCAGAGCUGACUUUAACAAAUGCUUAGUUUUCAGCAGCCUUGAAAAAACAUAGCCUAGCAGUCAGUGACUUACUUGCACUUUUUUGCACAUAGAAAUAAAAAUGCUAUUAAUUUGGUAUAGCCUGUACUAUGACAAACUAGCUGUGAUUUAUGAGUGUAUGGUAGUAUACUGACUGCUAUGUAUUCUGUACUAUUUGCUUUACUAAUCACCUAAUUCAUUGCAGUUCACAGUUAUUGACUUAGUUUUAAACCACAGUCUGUAGGCUUGAGGAAUUGCUUUAAAACUUUUUAAAAUGGUAAAAACUGGAAGUUGUUUUAAAAUUAGCAAAGAAUCUUCAGUAUUAAAAAUGGCAUUAUUUAAGGUAGUCCUGCUGCAAGGAAGGCACUUCAGUGAAUAUGUGACUAGUAAAGCUCAAAUGUGCUUGGGUCUAGUAGAUUUCAUGAAACUGUAAUCUUGAGUUUGUAAAUGAAUGGAUAAUGCAGGUUAAGGCCCGGAUGUUUAAAAUAAAUGCAAUAUUAAUCUGCACAGGUAUACUUCAUAUAUUAAGAUUAAAAUUUGAAACUACUGUGCCUUAACUUGUUGCUUUCUUAAAAUGAAUUUUUUUUUUAGAAAGUGAUCAUUUUAAAUCCAUUUUGAUAAGCCUGCUGUUAAUGUUUUAUCAAAUGUUUUCUAACUGUCUUGGUAAUUGCAAUUUAACUAGGUGCGGUGGCUACUAAAGUUCGAAGGCACGAUAUGCGUGUCCAUCCUUACCAAAGGAUUGUGACCGCAGACAGAGCCGCCACCGGCAACUAACCUAUGACCUUCUGACCUCUGAACUCUUCACCCAAUGAUGACCUGACCAUGCCUGCCUGCUGAUCAGUUAACUGGUAAUCGCCUUUGCUUGCCUGUCUUCAGUGCAGCGAGCUGAGGCACUUGUCCGUUCGUCUUACCAUCUAACAAAAAGACAAAGAAAUUGUUGUCCUCCAACUCAGCUUUUUUUCCCUGUUUGGGUGAAAGUGGUUCUAGAACCUGCACUGAAUAGUAGUAAAGCAAUAAGGUCCAAUUCAUCCCUCCGCACUGAUCAUCUUUUAGUGUCCCACCCUAAAUGAAUGGUAAGAACGGCCUCACUUGAGAGAUGGAGGCAGAUGUCCCUUAACUCCCUGAUGACAGAGGCAGUUACUGUGAGACUUCUAGGAAUCUUUUUCUUCUCAUAAAGAAGUCAAAGUUCUCUUUGAAUGUACUGUGUGAUGAUGCAUCAUGCAUGAACCUUUGGUCAGGGAUGUCAUUGGUGAAGGGAUUCCUAAAAGUAUUCAAAAUUUGACAUGCAGUGUAGUCACUACCAAUGCCCUCAAAGGGCAGAAGAUGCAGCCUUUUUUAUAUUACCUGCCAAAUUGGGUGUUUUUAAGAAGAAAAAAAGUGCCAUGAAAGAUAGGUUACUGAAUUUUUGAACUACAUCAAUGCAUAAAACUAAACAGCAACACUAUUGAAGCUAAUCCUGAGAUACUUUCUUUUACUAUACAUCAACUUCCUUAAAAGAUUACAUGAGUACAAGGUACAUGCAUUAUGUGUCACAUUACUGGGCAAACUGUUCAAAUAUUUUUUUAAACCUCCCUGUAUAGAGAAAUUUCAUUAAGGAUGUAAAAGCCAUGCUUGCCUAUUUGCUGUAUACAUGUAAUGAAAUUGUAGAUAAAGUGUAGUGCAUUGAAACAAAUUGAAAAAAAGUAGAUACUUUUACUAUACAAGGGUGCUGGUGCAGAAAAAAUAUAUUUUUGGAAAUGUAGCAUUUUAUACUUUCAAGUGUUAUAAAAAAGAAAAAAGAACAAAGAAACCCUUUAUUUCAUUAAAUGAUUUUUUCUGGUGGUUGUCGAGAAACAAAAGACCAAAAGAGCCUUUUUGUCUUUAUUUUUUAUUUUUUAAGUAUUGGAAUAAGUAUAAAGAAGAGAAAGUGCCUUAUUUUCUUCAUGGUCAUUUAGUCAGAUGUCUCGUAUAAUCCGCUCCUCCCUCAGACAGCAAGUUAAUGCAUGCCACUCUGUCGCCCAGUAUGUGAAAAGAAGCUGUGAGGAAAGACAAAUGAGUUGACCAUUUAAAUUACCUGGUUUUUGCCAUAGCAUAAUGCAACUUUGUCAGAUCUGAAACUGUGAAAUGGAAUUGUUCCACCAACAGCCAACCGCAAUAUUUUUGUAACAUGUUCCCUCUUCAAUUGUAGACAAUAUAUUUUUAUAGUACUUGCUCAGCCUUAAACCAAAGGGUUCUAAGAUGCAGUCUCAUUCUAAAUCUAAGUAUUAGAUUACACUAUUUAUACAGUAGCAAGUGUUAUACCCCCCCCCCGCCCCCGGAAUAGGUUGCAUUGUCCCUAUUUGAAAUAGAUAUGGGAAAACACAGCAGAACGUGAACUUGCCUACAGGAUGAUUUUGUCCAUGACUAAACUGAGCAUUCAGACAGUCUGUCUUUGAGCAUGUUUUAGGUUUUUGUGUGCUUCAUCUACAAUGCCAAAUAGUGUGUACUCCUCAUCAAACUCCUACUUGAUGAAUGUUAACUGCCGGUUGCGCUUUACUGAAAAGGAAAAGAAGUAUCAGUUAACUAUCUGGAAGUUCAGCUAUGCUUAAGUUUGACUCAGUAAACAUUUGCAUAGCUGUGCUAGUGGUGAUAAAACACUUUACGCACAAAGGUGAAGUAAAAAAAAAUAUGAGCAAGUAGUGAUACGUUAAUUGCUUUGAGCAGAUUUGGCAAAGAUCAGGUGAUAACCCCCCUCCAUUGUGUCAACUUAUUAUCCUAAAAAUCUUCACAGCUUCCAAAUCAAAGGUCAAUAGUAAGUUAGGUAAGAGGGCUUACUUUUUAAGCACCUGCAUGGUGACUUGGUCUAACCAUUGUGUCUCACCUGGAAACAAGUAUCAAUUUAUUUACUAUGCAAUAAACAUACAUCCUUUUGUAUUCAGCUAGCUUUUAUUUUAUCUUGCCACUGGCUUUGUCUUCCUGUUACACAUAGGUUUUUUGGUUUGACUUUCAGUAUAUGCUGUGCCAUUUUGAUUUUUGUUUGGUUGAAUAAACUUGCAACACUCAAAAAUUUUGGAGAAUUGCUAAAACAUAACUAGUAUUUGAUCCAGUUUCAUCUCAACUAUGAUAAACCUGGACAUUUUUAGAUGCUGAUCAAAGGUCUCUUCUUGGGAGAAGUGUGACUUAUAAAAGUAAUGUUUGUUCUGAAAAAGUUUGAAGACUUAGUUGACAACAUUUUGGAUCAACUUAAAGCAUGACAUUUGAAAUCUCUGAAUGCCUUGGUUCUCAGUAUUAUCAUUCUUUAUUGAAUUUUUCUUUAUUAAAGUAUGUAGUUUAAGACUUUUUUCUGACAGUAUUAUGUAAUUUUUUUUAGAGUGGGUAUACAUACAUCGCUUGUAUGUUACCAUACAGACGACAUGUAUUUGUCUAUUCCUUUUACUUUAGUUUGAUGCUAUGUAUGUACCAUAACCAACCUAUUGCCUAUGAGAAACAUGUAAGAUAAUGUAUUUACAGCCAUUGUUACAAGUUUAUAAUGUAUUUUUCUAUCUUGUUUUAUAUGUAUGUUAUAUAACAUUCAGAAGAAUUUUUUUCCUGAUUGAGAAAAGGAUACAAAAAUGCAAAACCCACAAUUUUGAUAACUGAAAAUUGCCAAUUGUUUUGCAGUACUUUAUUAUUAUAUUGGGAGUGUUGUCUUUGGGCUUUUAGUUAGCUACUGGAUUGAAUACAUUAGACAUAUCUGGGUUUUAGUUGGGUUUUUACAUAGCUUGCAUUUUAAUUCUUUGGUUCUUUGCUGUUUCUAUUAACCCAUAGCAUUAUUUUAAUAAAUGUUAUAAUACCAACCUACUAACUCUGGACUAUGUCAGUUUAUUAACCAUUACAUGUUUAAUUAAAAUAAACAAGGAAAGACGGAAGAAUGUAA